rnacentral:rRNA from 1 species
CCUACGGGAGGCAGCAGUGAGGAAUAUUGGUCAAUGGGCGAGAGCCUGAACCAGCCAAGUCGCGUGAGGGAGUACUGCCCUAUGGGUUGUAAACCUCUGUUGUCGGGGAGCAAAAGCCGGACGUGUCCGGCUGUGAGAGAACCCGAAGAAAAAGCAUCGGCUAACUCCGUGCCAGCAGCCGCGGUAAUACGGAGUAUGCGAGCGUUAUCCGGAUUUCUUGGUUUUAAAGGGUGCGCAGGCGGAUUUUUAAGUCAGCGGUCAAAUCGUGGGGCUCAACCCCAUCCAGCCGUGGAAACUGGGGAUCUAGAGUGUGCGAGAGGUAUGCGGAAUUCCUAGUGUAGCGGUGAAAUGCGGAGAUAUUAGGAGGAACACCGGUGGCGAAGGCGGCUUACUGGACUGUAACUGACGUUGAGGCUCGAAAGCGUGGGGAGCAAACAGGAUUAGAUACCCUUGUAGUG